rnacentral:lncRNA from 1 species
AUAGUUUCAUCAUUUUGGACUGUGGAAUGGAAUAUUUUCCCAAUUCUGCAUGAUAAUUCCAGUCAAAUAAAUUCUGUAUGUUUUGUCUUUCUAUUUUAUUUCCCAGUGAUAUAUGGAGCAGACAUUGCUUCUCCUCAGGAGAAGAAAGCAAAGAAGUCUGAAGAAUCAGAAUCGGGGAACCAUCAAGCACCUACUGAGAGCCCAUCCCGAGCCCUGCAUUCUGCUGGCCCUUAUGGGAAGUUAGAAGUAGAAGAGGUUCCUGGAGAGACCGGGAUGUCCACUGCCUCAAUGUUCUCAAGCGCUCCAGUCUCAGAGUGGGGCGGGGACCGAGCAGAACUGAAAAGCACCAGCAGCUGCUCCCCAGCUCGAGCCAACUGUUGCCAUGUGGGAAUGGAGGCUCAGUCUUGCCAGGUCAGCAAAUUUUUCCAAAACAGCUAGGAAUCAUGAUUUUUGCAUGAAACUUCUCCAUUUAAUAAGUUGACAAUGAGAAUUAAAAAACAAAAAACAGAAACAAAAAAUACUGUGUGGGCCAGCAAAUGCAUGGGCCAAAUUGAAUAGGUCUGCAGUCCUGAUUUGGCCUGCCAGUUUAUACCGGCUGCUUUAUAUUAUGAAUUCCCUCAGAAUUUAAAAAUGCUUACCACUCAAAAUGACUUGGUGACAUUUAUAGUGAUCUGUACACAUUUUGUGGAGAAAAAACUUGAAUAAGACUGCUUGCAUACAAAUUAUAAACUACAGAACUGGCAACUCUAGUCAUUUAGCACUACAGGGCAAAGUAACUUCUUGACAGAAUUUUUCACUUUCUUUCUUUCUUUUUUUUUAAGAGAGGGAGUCUUGCUUUGUUGUCCAGGCUAGAAUGCAGUAGCACAAUCAUAACUCACUGCUGCCUCCAACUCCUGGGCUCCCAGCUUAACCUCACGAAUAGCUGGGACCACAGGCAUAUGCCACUGCACCUGGCUUAUUUUUUAACACUUUUUAUAUCGUAGAGACGAAGUCUCACAUUUUUCCAAGUCUGGUCUUUAACUCCUGGGCUCGAGCCUCCCCAAGUCCUGGGAUUAUAGGCAUGAACCACUGCUCCUGGCCACAAAAUUUUUAUUUCUAAAUAAUUGCUGUGAUAUGUAGAGUCAGCCUAAAUUAUGUAUGUAUCAAGUCUUAACAAUGUAUUUUCCAGGAUGGACACUACCACCAUUAUUGCCCCCAACACACAGACACACACACACACACACACACAAUGACACCUUUAGAAGAUUAUUUUGGGUUCCUGCAAAAUUAUUAUUGCUGGAAAUAUCACUUUCAGUUUUGGUGAUACUCAUUAAUAAAAUGCAUAAAUCAUUUGUCCUUGUAUCAAAAUAAGUUUGUUAGCAUAUUUUCGAAGUGUAACAUGCAUACUGAAAUAUGCAUGAAUCAUAAAGAUACAGCUUAGAUGAGUUUCAAAAAGUAAGCACACCCAAAUAAUCAACACCCAUCUCAAGAAAAAGAACAUUACCAGAAAAUCAUAAACUAGCACAUAUGGGGUAUUACUACUCUUAAUCUUAAAAUAUCUAGAAAUGAGACUCUUUAUAGCAUACUUUAACUUUUUAAGAAGCAAGAACCAUUCUCCGUGAAUGAUUAAGUUAAAACAUACUUUAUUACUUUCUUUAAUUUUCCAACCUUAUUAAGCUGAUUAUUUUUUAAAGAAAAAUAACUUUCUAACUGAAGAAACUCAUAAAAAUCAUAUACGAAAAUCCCACAGCCAACAUCAUAAUCAAUGGUGAAAGAUUGAAAGCUUUUCCUCUAAGGUCAGAAAAAAGACAAGGAUGCCCACUUUUGCCACUUCUAUUCAACGUAAUACUUGAAGUCCCAGCUGAAGCAAUCAGGCAAGAAAAAGAGAUAAAAGGCAUCCAAAUUAGAAAACAAAUAAAUAUUCUCUCUGUUCACAGAUGACAUGGUCUCAUAUGCAGAAAGCCUUAAGGAAGGCCAGGUGCACUGGCUGAUGCCUGUAAUCCCAGCACUUUGGGAUGUUGAGGUGGGUAGAUAACUUGAGAUCAGGAGUUCGAGACCAGCCUGGCCAACAUGGCAAUACUCUGUCUCUACUAAAAACACAAAAACUAGCCAGGUUUGGUGGUGCAGGCUACUUCGGAGGCUGAGGCAGGAGAAUUGCUCAAACCUAAGAAGCAGAGUUUGCAGUAAGCCAAGAUGGCACCACUGCAACUCCUGUUUUUUUUUUUUUUCUCUCUGUUUGCUUGUUAAAUCUUCCUCCAUUCCUUUAUUUUGAGCCUUUGUGUAUCCUUGCAUGUGAGAUGGGUUUCCUGGAUACAGCACAUAAUAUUGUUAUGUGUGAAUUUGAUCCUGCCAUUUUGAUGCUAGCUGGCUGUUUUGCCCAUUAGUUGAUGCAGUUUCUUCAUUGUGUUGUUGCUCUUUACUAUUUGGUAUGUCUUUGGAAUGGCUGGUACUGGUUGUUCCUUUCUAUGUUUAGUGCCUCUUUCAGGAGCUCUUGUAAAGCAGGCCUGAUGUUGAUGAAAUCUCUGAAUUCUUGCUUGUUCACAAAGGAUUUUAUUUUUCCUUCACUUAUGAAGCUUAGUUUGGCUGGAUAUGAAAUUCUGGGUUGAAAGUUCUUUUCUUUAAGGAUGCUGAAUAUUGGCCCCCACUCUCUUCUGGCUUGUAGGGUUUCUGCUGAGAGAUCUGCUAUGAGUCUGAUGGGCUUCCCUUUGUGGGUAACCCAAACUUUCUUUCUGGCUUCCCUUAGCAUUUCUCCUUCAUUUCAACCUGCUGCAUCUGACGAUUAUGUGCCUUGGGGUUGCUCUUCUUGAGAAAUAUCUUUGUGGUGUUCUCUGUAUUUCCUGGACUUAAAUAUUGACCUGCCUUGCUAUGUUGGGGAAGUUUUCCUGGAUAGUAUCCAGAAGAGUAUUUUCCAGCUUGGAUUCAUUCUCUCCAUCACAUUCAGGUACACCUAUCAAACGUAGAUUAGGUCUUUUCACAUAGUCCCAUAUUUCUUGGAGACUUUGUUCAUUCCUUUUUACCCUUUUUUCUCUAAUCUUGCCUUCUCAUUUUAUAUCAUUGAGUUGAUCUUCAACCUCUGAUAUCCUUUCUUCUGCUUGGUCAAUUUGGCUGUUGAAACUUGUGCAUGCUUUGUGAAGUUCUCGUGUUGUGUUUUUCAGCUCCAUCAAUUCACUUAUAUUCCUCUCUAAGUUGUCUAUUCUCAUUAGCAUUUCAUCAAAUCUUUUUUUUUCAAGGUUCUUAGUUUCUUUGCAUUGGGUUAGAACAUGUUCUUUUAGCUCACAGAAGUUUCUUAUUACCCACCUUCUGAAGCCUGAUUCUGUCAAUUCAUCACAUUCAUUCUCCAUCCAGCCUUGUUCCCUUGCUGGUGAGGAGUUGUGAUCCCUUAUAGGAGGAGAGGUGUUCUGGUUUCAGGUGUUUUCAUCCUUUUUGUGCUGGUUUCUUCCCAUCUUUGUGGAUUUAUUCACCUGUUGUCUUUGUAGUUGUUGACUUUCAGAUUGGGUCUCUGAGUGGAUGUCCAGUUUGUUGAUGAUGAAGUUAUUUCUUUUUGUUUCUUAGUUUUCCUUCUAACAGUCUGGCCCCUCUGCUGUAGGACUGCUGAUGUCCACUCCAGGCCCUGCUUGCCUGGGGAUCACCUGCAGUGGCUGCAGAACAGUAAGGGUUGCUGCCAGUUUCUUCUGCUGCUAUCUUUGUCCCAAAAGGAUACCCGCCAAAUGUCAGUCUGAGUUCUCCUUUAUGAGGUGACUCUUUGGAUAUACGGGGUCAGGGAGCUGCUUGAGGAGACAGUCUGUCCUUUAUAGGACAUAGACCAAGCAAACCUAAUAGACAUUUAUAGAACUCUCCACCCCAAAUCCAUAGAAUAUACAUUCUUCUCAGCACCACAUCGCACCUACUCUAAAAUUGACCACAUAAUUUGAAGUAAAUCAC